UUAACAGACCCUGCCAGAGUUCUCCUCAGACAGUCCCUGGGUCUCUGAGAUGCAAGUUUUCCAGCUGAUUUUAAAACAUGGAUAGCUAACUGAUGGUAUUUAGCUACUUAAUGGACUGGAAACAUCCUGUUUUGACAAGUGAUUGUAGGGAGCCAGAUGGAAGAAAGCAGUUCCAAUGGGGAACAGCCUCACUGUGAUGACCUCAGGAGCCCAUACUCAGAUGUGGUUGCUUCUUAAACACCUAUCUCCCUUUCGGAUGAAAUGGGCAUUCCUGGAAGGAUCUGAGCCUGAGGUAAAACUGGAAGAGGUCAAACCAACCCAGCAGCGCCGUUCCCAUGGCUGCAGAGAAAAGCUCAGUGCUGUGACUGCCUGUUAAUCACCUGGA